UGCUAUAAAACCCUUUCUUUUAACUACUCCUUUCACCAUCCAAACCAUACUUGAUACUUCUCCAUUUCAGAUUCUAUGCAAACUUCUUUUCCCUCCAUCUAUUUCCUGUAUAGAUUGGCAUAUUACUAUUGAUUUCCUUGGAAAACAAUGAAGGGGAAGUUUCUAAAGGCAUGCCUUACAAAAUGGAGGAAGAUGGGGAGUAGAAUCAUACCUUGUGGCAGCUGCAAAUACUGUUAUCAGUGGGCAAAUUGGCCUGAUUCCAUGCAUGAAGAGAGGUCAAUCCCAAGGGAUGUGCCCAACGGUCACUUGGCAGUGUAUGUGGGUGAAAACAAUAGGAGGUUUGUGAUUAAAAUCACCUUGCUCAAGCACCC
rnacentral:lncRNA from 1 species